rnacentral:rRNA from 1 species
GACGAACGCUGGCGGCGUGCUUAACACAUGCAAGUCGAACGGAAAGGCCCUGCUUUUGUGGGGUGCUCGAGUGGCGAACGGGUGAGUAACACGUGAGUAACCUGUCCUUGACUUUGGGAUAACUUCAGGAAACUGGGGCUAAUACCGGAUAGGAGCUCCUGCUGCAUGGUGGGGGUUGGAAAGUUUCGGCGGUUGGGGAUGGACUCGCGGCUUAUCAGCUUGUUGGUGGGGUAGUGGCUUACCAAGGCUUUGACGGGUAGCCGAGCUGGUAGGGCGACCUGCUCCGUCGGACCUGGGAUGCGGCCCAGCCUCCUACGGGAGGCAACAGUGGAGUAGAUUGCACAAGGGGCGGAAGCCUGAUGCAACACCGCCGCGUGCGGGAUGACGGCCUUCGGGUUGUAAACCGAUUUCGCCUGUGACGAAGCGUGAGUGACGGUAAUGGGUAAAGAAGCACCGGCUAACUACGUG